rfam:Triticum aestivum genome assembly, contig: Triticum_aestivum_CS42_TGACv1_scaffold_130427_2BL
UACUUACUCCCUCUUUCCGGAAAUACUCGUCAGAGAAAUGGAUGUAUCUAGGCAUAUUUUACUUCUAGAUACAUCCAUUUUCAUCCAUUUCCCCAACAAGUAUUUCCGGAUAGACGGAAUCUUUC